UUCUCUUGAGAGCGGCGGACGGGUGAGUAAUGCCUAGGAAUCUGCCUGGUAGUGGGGGAUAACGUUCGGAAACGGACGCUAAUACCGCAUACGUCCUACGGGAGAAAGCAGGGGACCUUCGGGCCUUGCGCUAUCAGAUGAGCCUAGGUCGGAUUAGCUAGUUGGUGAGGUAAUGGCUCACCAAGGCGACGAUCCGUAACUGGUCUGAGAGGAUGAUCAGUCACACUGGAACUGAGACACGGUCCAGACUCCUACGGGAGGCAGCAGUGGGGAAUAUUGGACAAUGGGCGAAAGCCUGAUCCAGCCAUGCCGCGUGUGUGAAGAAGGUCUUCGGAUUGUAAAGCACUUUAAGUUGGGAGGAAGGGCAGUUACCUAAUACGUGAUUGUUUUGACGUUACCGACAGAAUAAGCACCGGCUAACUCUGUGCCAGCAGCCGCGGUAAUACAGAGGGUGCAAGCGUUAAUCGGAAUUACUGGGCGUAAAGCGCGCGUAGGUGGUUUGUUAAGUUGGAUGUGAAAUCCCCGGGCUCAACCUGGGAACUGCAUUCAAAACUGACUGACUAGAGUAUGGUAGAGGGUGGUGGAAUUUCCUGUGUAGCGGUGAAAUGCGUAGAUAUAGGAAGGAACACCAGUGGCGAAGGCGACCACCUGGACUAAUACUGACACUGAGGUGCGAAAG
rnacentral:rRNA from 1 species